GAUGAACGCUGGCGGCGUGCCUAAUACAUGCAAGUCGAACGGUCGGUCGUAAGGCCGAUAGUGGCGAACGGGUGAGUAACGCGUUGGUGACCUGCCCAAUAGUGGGGGAUACCAGGCCGAAAGGCCUGCUAAUACCGCAUGAGCUCGAGGGAGAUUAGAAACCUUUGAGGAAAGCCGAAAGGCGCUAAUGGAGGGGCCUGCGUCCCAUCAGCUAGUUGGUAAGGUAACGGCUUACCAAGGCGAUGACGGGUAGGGGACCUGAGAGGGUGACCCCCCACAAUGGAACUAGAACAACGGUCCAUACACCUACGGGAGGCUG
rnacentral:rRNA from 1 species